rnacentral:rRNA from 1 species
UACGGAGGGUGCAAGCGUUAUCCGGAUUUACUGGGUUUAAAGGGUGUGUAGGCGGGCUUUUAAGUCAGUGGUGAAAUCUCCGGGCUCAACCCGGAAACUGCCAUUGAUACUAUUAGUCUUGAAUUUUGUUGAGGUAAGCGGAAUAAGUCAUGUAGCGGUGAAAUGCAUAGAUAUGACUUAGAACACCAAUUGCGAAGGCAGCUUACUAAGCAAAUAUUGACGCUGAGGCACGAAAGCGUGGGGAUCAAACAGG